GCAGUGGGGAAUAUUGCACAAUGGGCGCAAGCCUGAUGCAGCCAUGCCGCGUGUAUGAAGAAGGCCUUCGGGUUGUAAAGUACUUUCAGCGGGGAUGAAGGGAGUAAAGUUAAUGCCUUUGCUCAUUGACGUUACCCGCAGAAGAAGCACCGGCUAACUCCGUGCCAGCAGCCGCGGUAA
rnacentral:rRNA from 1 species